rnacentral:snoRNA from 13 species
UGGAGAAGCUAAUGAUGAGGAAAGCUAUAAUGUCUGAACCUGGCUGAGGCAUCUUUGUGAUGCAUUCUCUUUUUAGCUCUGAGGUUUCUCCAUAA